AGAGUUUGAUCCUGGCUCAGGACGAACGCUGGCGGCGUGGAUUAGGCAUGCAAGUCGAACGGUAUAAACCUUUCGGGGUUUAGAGAGUGGCGAACGGGUGAGUAACACGUAGGUAAUCUACCCUCAAAACGGGGACAACCCAGGGAAACUUGGGCUAAUACCGGAUGCGUGCAAGCAAUGUUUUGGCUGUUGUAAUUAUUCACGGAAGUGGAUAGUUAUGAGAGUUUCAGAGCAUUAUUUGCAUAAAAGGUGGCGUAAGCUGCCGUUUGAGGAUGAGCCUGCGUCCUAUUAGUUAGUUGGUGAGGUAAUGGCUUACCAAGGCGAUGAUAGGUAGGCGGCCUUAACGGGUGGUCGCCCACACUGGGAUUGAGAGACGGCCCAGACUCCUACGGGAGGCAGCAGUCGAGAAUAGUCUACAAUGGACGGAAGUCUGAUAGUGCGACGCCGCGUGAACGAAGAAUCCCUUCGGGGUGUAAAGUUCUUUUAUACGUGAGCAGUGCCCUUUAUAUGAAUAGUAUAGAGGGAGGGAUUUAAGCGUAUGAAUAAGCAACGGCUAACUCCGUGCCAGCAGCCGCGGUAACACGGGGGUUGCAAGCGUUGUCCGGAAUUACUAGGCGUAAAGUGCAGGUAGGCGGAUAGAUAAGUUUAAGGUUAAAGGCUACGGCUUACCCGUAGUAAGGCGUUAGAUACUGUUUAUCUGGAAUGCGGUUGAGGGAGACAGAAUUCCUGGUGUAGCGGUGGAAUGCGCAGAGAUCAGGAGGAAUACCGAAGGCGAAGGCAGUCUUCUAAGCCGAUAUUGACGCUAAACUGCGAAGGUGUGGGGAUCAAACAGGAUUAGAUACCCUGGUAGUCCACACAGUAAACGAUAAUCACUAGGUGUUGGGUUCGUAUAGGACUCGGUGCCGGAGCUAACGCGAUAAGUGAUUCGCCUGGGGAGUACGAUCGCAAGGUUGAAACUCAAAGGAAUUGACGGGGGCCCGCACAAGCGGUGGAGCAU
rnacentral:rRNA from 1 species